UUGGAGGGCAAGUCUGGUGCCAGCAGCCGCGGUAAUUCCAGCUCCAAUAGCGUAUAUUAAAGUUGUUGCAGUUAAAAAGCUCGUAGUUGAAUUUCGGAGUCAGCAGGUCGGUCGUGCCACAGGUAUGUACUGGUCUUGCUGAUUCCUCCCUCUUGACGAGCCGUAAUGCCAUUAAUUUGGUGUCGCAGGAAAUCAGGACUGUUACCUUAGAAAAAUUGAGUGUUUAAAGCAGGCUUACGCUUGAAUACAUUAGCA
rnacentral:rRNA from 1 species